GACGAACGCUGGAGGCGUGCUUAACACAUGCAAGUCGAACGAUGAAAUGGAGCUUGCUCCAUGGAUUAGUGGCGAACGGGUGAGUAACACGUGAAUAACCUGCCCUUAAUUUUGGAAUAACCCAGGGAAACCUGGGCUAGUGCCGGAUAAGUAAACCUGUGGCAUCACAUGGUUUUGGAAAGUUUUUCGAUUAAGGAUGGAUUCGCGGCCUAUCAGCUUGUUGGUGAGGUAAUGGCUCACCAAGGCGACGACGGGUAGCCGGCCUGAGAGGGUGAACGGCCACACUGGGACUGAGACACGGCCCAGACUCCUACGGGAGGCAGCAGUGGGGAAUAUUGCGCAAUGGACGAAAGUCUGACGCAGCGACGCCUCGUGAGGGACGAAGGUCUUCGGAUUGUAAACCUCUUUCAGCAGGGACGAAGCGAAAGUGACGGUACCUGCAGAAGAAGCACCGGCUAACUAUGUGCCAGCCGCCGCGGUAA
rnacentral:rRNA from 1 species